rnacentral:lncRNA from 1 species
AAAAGGCAAUCCCAUCAAUUUUGUUCUCCCUAUAUAAAAAAAAUACAUCGGAUGAAAAAAAAAUAUAGAUUAAAGAUGUAAUAAUGACAAUCUCAAAAUAAUUAUAUUGCCUUUACAGGAGAUCAUAAAAAAAAAUAAUCUCGUCAAUGGUUAGAGGUGAUAUUCAAUACUCUUCAAAAAUUAUAAUAUUCGUAUUUCCAAAUAUCAUAAUAUUCAAACUCCAAAAUACAAAAAUAUAUUAAAUACCAGCCACACCAAACCACCCCAAUAUGGCCUCUCCACCGUCUCAUUACUUUUUCAUACUUUAAGUAACCUUCACCUCUAUCCAUUCGCCUAUUCUAUAUGCAGUCAAACCAAACCAAACAUUAGAUAAUAAUUGAUCUCGCUGUUUCUGACACAUCCAUAUAACCAAACCGCGGCCAUUCUCUAUUUCCUCCUCAUCCAUAUCAAUCAAGCAAGAAGAAGAAGAAGAAGAAGAAGAAGGCAGCACUCCUGGAUGAGAAUGGAGGAUGGAAAUAGCAGCGUGGUUGGUGAUGACCAGCUCUUAGAAACCAGAUCUUCAUAUGAAGAAGAUCAAGUUCAACAACAACAACAGCAAGAGGAAGAAGAAGAAGAAGAAGAAGAGUCAACAAUUACUACUCGUACAGUGAUGUCAAGGAGGAGCACCAAUUCAAUUUCUUCUUCUCCUCACCCUACAACUCCUACUACUCCAACGACCAACAAUGGCUACUUCGGCAAGCAUCGGAUGGCUGCUUCCCUCUCCAUUCUUCAACUUCAAAUCCAAUCCACCCAGGUCUCUCUC